GAUGAACGCUGGCGGCGUGCCUAAUACAUGCAAGUAGAACGAUGAAGGUUGGUGCUUGCACCGAACGGAUGAGUUGCGAACGGGUGAGUGACGCGUAGAUAACCCGUCUCCUAGAGGGGGGUAAAUCUGUUGAACGCUAGUUAAUACAGCAUAAAAGUCGAUAUCGCAUGAUAUUGAUUGGAAAGGAGCAAAUGCAUCUUUACAAGAUGGAACUGCGUGGGAUUAGCUAGUUGGUGAGGUAACGGCUCACCAAGGCGACGAUACAUAGCCGAUCUGAGAGGGUGAACGGCCACACUGGGACUGAGACACGGCCCAGACUCCUACGGGAGGCAGCAGUAGGGAAUCUUCCGCAAUGGGGGCAAGUCUGACCGAGCAACGCCGCGUGAGUGAAGACGGUCUUCGGGUUGUAAAGCUCUGUUGUAAGAGAAGAACGGGUGUGGGAGUGGAAAGUCCACACUGUGACGGUAACUGAACAGAAAGGGACGGCUAACUACGUG
rnacentral:rRNA from 1 species